UACGUAGGUGGCAAGCGUUGUCCGGAAUUAUUGGGCGUAAAGCGCGCGCAGGCGGUCCUUUAAGUCUGAUGUGAAAGCCCACGGCUCAACCGUGGAGGGUCAUUGGAAACUGGGGGACUUGAGUGCAGAAGAGGAAAGCGGAAUUCCGGGUGUAGUGGUGAAAUGCGUAGAGAUCCGGAGGAACACCAGUGGCGAAGGCGACACGCUGGGCCGUACCUGACACUGAACCGCGACAGCAUGGGGAGCAACAGG
rnacentral:rRNA from 1 species